GACGAACGCUGGCGGCGUGCUUAACACAUGCAAGUCGAACGAAGUGGCGAACGGGUGAGUAAUACGUGGGUAACCUGCCCUCCUUUUUGGGAUAAGCCUUGGAAACGGGGUCUAAUACCGAAUAUAGGGGGAUGGGCUCGCGGCCUAUCGGCUUUUUGGUGGGGUGUUGGCCCACCAGGGGGGCGACGGGUAGCCGGCCGGAGGGGGUGACGGGCAACAUGGGAACGGAGAUACGGCCAAGAUGCCAAGGGGAGGCGGCGGUGGGGGAAUUGGAUAAAGGGGGGAAAGCCAAAGGCGGCAAGGCCACUAGGGGGUUGAAGGUUUUCGGGUUUUAAACUUCUUGCGCUACGAAACGGGUAGGUGGAGAAGAAGCGCCGGCUAACUACGUGCCAGCAGCCGCGGUAAUAC
rnacentral:rRNA from 1 species